rnacentral:rRNA from 1 species
UACGAAGGGGGCUAGCGUUGCUCGGAAUCACUGGGCGUAAAGGGUGCGUAGGCGGGUUUUUAAGUCAGGGGUGAAAUCCUGGAGCUCAACUCCAGAACUGCCUUUGAUACUGAAGAUCUCGAGUCCGGGAGAGGUGAGUGGAACUGCGAGUGUAGAGGUGAAAUUCGUAGAUAUUCGCAAGAACACCAGUGGCGAAAGCGGCGUGCUGGACCCCUUCUGACGCUGAGGCGCGAAAGCCAGGGGAGCAAACGGGG